rnacentral:rRNA from 1 species
UUAAGCGACUAAGCGUACACGGUGGAUGCCCUGGCAGUCAGAGGCGAUGAAGGACGUGCUAAUCUGCGAUAAGCGUCGGUAAGGUGAUAUGAACCGUUAUAACCGGCGAUUUCCGAAUGGGGAAACCCAGUGUGAUUCGUCACACUAUCAUUAACUGAAUCCAUAGGUUAAUGAGGCGAACCGGGGGAACUGAAACAUCUAAGUACCCCGAGGAAAAGAAAUCAACCGAGAUUCCCCCAGUAGCGGCGAGCGAACGGGGAGCAGCCCAGAGCCUGAAUCAGUGUGUGUGUUAGUGGAAGCGUCUGGAAAGGCGCGCGAUACAGGGUGACAGCCCCGUACACAAAAAUGCACAUACUGUGAGCUCGAUGAGUAGGGCGGGACACGUGGUAUCCUGUCUGAAUAUGGGGGGACCAUCCUCCAAGGCUAAAUACUCCUGACUGACCGAUAGUGAACCAGUACCGUGAGGGAAAGGCGAAAAGAACCCCGGCGAGGGGAGUGAAAAAGAACCUGAAACCGUGUACGUACAAGCAGUGGGAGCACGCUUAGGCGUGUGACUGCGUACCUUUUGUAUAAUGGGUCAGCGACUUAUAUUCUGUAGCAAGGUUAACCGAAUAGGGGAGCCGAAGGGAAACCGAGUCUUAACUGGGCGUUAAGUUGCAGGGUAUAGACCCGAAACCCGGUGAUCUAGCCAUGGGCAGGUUGAAGGUUGGGUAACACUAACUGGAGGACCGAACCGACUAAUGUUGAAAAAUUAGCGGAUGACUUGUGGCUGGGGGUGAAAGGCCAAUCAAACCGGGAGAUAGCUGGUUCUCCCCGAAAGCUAUUUAGGUAGCGCCUCGUGAAUUCAUCUCCGGGGGUAGAGCACUGUUUCGGCAAGGGGGUCAUCCCGACUUACCAACCCGAUGCAAACUGCGAAUACCGGAGAAUGUUAUCACGGGAGACACACGGCGGGUGCUAACGUCCGUCGUGAAGAGGGAAACAACCCAGACCGCCAGCUAAGGUCCCAAAGUCAUGGUUAAGUGGGAAACGAUGUGGGAAGGCCCAGACAGCCAGGAUGUUGGCUUAGAAGCAGCCAUCAUUUAAAGAAAGCGUAAUAGCUCACUGGUCGAGUCGGCCUGCGCGGAAGAUGUAACGGGGCUAAACCAUGCACCGAAGCUGCGGCAGCGACGCUUAUGCGUUGUUGGGUAGGGGAGCGUUCUGUAAGCCUGUGAAGGUGUGCUGUGAGGCAUGCUGGAGGUAUCAGAAGUGCGAAUGCUGACAUAAGUAACGAUAAAGCGGGUGAAAAGCCCGCUCGCCGGAAGACCAAGGGUUCCUGUCCAACGUUAAUCGGGGCAGGGUGAGUCGACCCCUAAGGCGAGGCCGAAAGGCGUAGUCGAUGGGAAACAGGUUAAUAUUCCUGUACUUGGUGUUACUGCGAAGGGGGGACGGAGAAGGCUAUGUUGGCCGGGCGACGGUUGUCCCGGUUUAAGCGUGUAGGCUGGUUUUCCAGGCAAAUCCGGAAAAUCAAGGCUGAGGCGUGAUGACGAGGCACUACGGUGCUGAAGCAACAAAUGCCCUGCUUCCAGGAAAAGCCUCUAAGCAUCAGGUAACAUCAAAUCGUACCCCAAACCGACACAGGUGGUCAGGUAGAGAAUACCAAGGCGCUUGAGAGAACUCGGGUGAAGGAACUAGGCAAAAUGGUGCCGUAACUUCGGGAGAAGGCACGCUGAUAUGUAGGUGAAGUCCCUCGCGGAUGGAGCUGAAAUCAGUCGAAGAUACCAGCUGGCUGCAACUGUUUAUUAAAAACACAGCACUGUGCAAACACGAAAGUGGACGUAUACGGUGUGACGCCUGCCCGGUGCCGGAAGGUUAAUUGAUGGGGUCAGCGCAAGCGAAGCUCUUGAUCGAAGCCCCGGUAAACGGCGGCCGUAACUAUAACGGUCCUAAGGUAGCGAAAUUCCUUGUCGGGUAAGUUCCGACCUGCACGAAUGGCGUAAUGAUGGCCAGGCUGUCUCCACCCGAGACUCAGUGAAAUUGAACUCGCUGUGAAGAUGCAGUGUACCCGCGGCAAGACGGAAAGACCCCGUGAACCUUUACUAUAGCUUGACACUGAACAUUGAGCCUUGAUGUGUAGGAUAGGUGGGAGGCUUAGAAGUGUGGACGCCAGUCUGCAUGGAGCCGACCUUGAAAUACCACCCUUUAAUGUUUGAUGUUCUAACGUUGACCCGUAAUCCGGGUUGCGGACAGUGUCUGGUGGGUAGUUUGACUGGGGCGGUCUCCUCCUAAAGAGUAACGGAGGAGCACAAAGGUUGGCUAAUCCUGGUCGGACAUCAGGAGGUUAGUGCAAUGGCAUAAGCCAGCUUGACUGCGAGCGUGACGGCGCGAGCAGGUGCGAAAGCAGGUCAUAGUGAUCCGGUGGUUCUGAAUGGAAGGGCCAUCGCUCAACGGAUAAAAGGUACUCCGGGGAUAACAGGCUGAUACCGCCCAAGAGUUCAUAUCGACGGCGGUGUUUGGCACCUCGAUGUCGGCUCAUCACAUCCUGGGGCUGAAGUAGGUCCCAAGGGUAUGGCUGUUCGCCAUUUAAAGUGGUACGCGAGCUGGGUUUAGAACGUCGUGAGACAGUUCGGUCCCUAUCUGCCGUGGGCGCUGGAGAACUGAGGGGGGCUGCUCCUAGUACGAGAGGACCGGAGUGGACGCAUCACUGGUGUUCGGGUUGUCAUGCCAAUGGCACUGCCCGGUAGCUAAAUGCGGAAGAGAUAAGUGCUGAAAGCAUCUAAGCACGAAACUUGCCCCGAGAUGAGUUCUCCCUGACCCUUAAGGGUCCUGAAGGAACGUUGAAGACGACGACGUUGAUAGGCCGGGUGUGUAAGCGCAGCGAUGCGUUGAGCUAACCGGUACUAAUGAACCGUGAGGCUUAACCUU